rnacentral:rRNA from 1 species
UACGAAGGGGGCGAGCGUUGUUCGGAAUUACUGGGCGUAAAGGGCGCGUAGGCGGCCCCUUUUGUCACGUGUGAAAGCCCCGGGCUCAACCUGGGGAGGUGCGCGCGAAACGGGGGGGGCUUGAGUUCGGGAGAGGAGAGUGGAAUUCCCAGUGUAGAGGUGAAAUUCGUAGAUAUUGGGAAGAACACCGGUGGCGAAGGCGGCUCUCUGGACCGAGACUGACGCUGAGGCGCGAAAGCGUGGGAAGCAAACAGG